CAAAUCACACAGAACCACGCGAGACCUCAAAACGAUAAGUUGUUGGCAAUAUGGCGGCACAGAGUAAAAUAUUGAUUACAUUUUAAGGGAAGCAGGGGUUUUAGGCAGGAUUUGAUGCAUGAUGUGUGUGUAGAUAUUAAUGUUAGGGGACAAUGUGAGAGUGUACGUUUUAGUAGGAAAACGUAUUAUCUGACCCACACUCCGGAACAGAAGAGGGCGGUAUUGCACCAAUAAGCUGGAUGCGAACCGCCGUUAAACUGGAAAGAAGACGAAUAUGACAGCUUGCUGUGAGAGACAACGGGACAGAUGAGACACACGUGUGUUUAUCUGCUGCAGAGACACUGAUGAAGGAAUGCUGCCAUCAAAGGAUUUGUAUCUUUUGUGGUGCAGCAGGACCUGCAAGGAAAGGUGAAAAAGAGGGAAAACCUGAAACAAAAGAAUAAUGUAAUGACGUAUUGUGUAUGUGUAUUUUUGUAGGGCAUGAAAAUGUCUGUAGACUGAUGUGUGCACUGAGGAUGGAGAAGACCAAAUCAUCAUCCUGGAAAUGAUCGAGAGUCACAAAUGAGACGCUACAUCACUCCAGCUCUUACUGUCUCAUCAGGACCAGAUGCUGCUGUGGUGUCUUCAUCCUCAGUGACCCCAGAGCCAGUGAGAGCAUCAAGAGAAAGACCACAAGACACUGACGAUGUGAUUUUGGUAAAGUUUGUUCAGCUGGUUACUGUUUAAACAAUGAAAGCUG